rnacentral:lncRNA from 1 species
AGACGAUCUCCUUUUUUUUGGCAGAAUUGAAUGGAAUAUCACACCUUCCAUUUGUGCUUGAUUCAACGAUCUAAAAAGUGACCGGAUCACGAAUGGGGUUGUGGUUCAUUGGAACACAAGUGAGUGGCGUUUCAAUUAUUCAAGAUAGGUUGAAGAUGAAUACAAAUAUGAAAUCGUAAAGUUACAAGACAUUCACAUUCAAUACUCAUUGUUAUCUCUCUGGAAUAUAUUCGGGUGGAAGCUCCUUAACUUAAACUUAGGUGCUACCGUAGCAGCAGCAGCAGGAGCAGCUACUUCAUUUGAAUCAGAAAUCAGAUUUUCAUCUAACGGCCUCACAGUUCCAAUAGACGGUGGUUGAGAAGAAGCAUAAUGGUAAUGAUCGCCUGCACCGGAAACUUGUGAAUUCUCUAACGGCCUCACAGCUCCAGUAGACAGUGGUUGAGCAGAAGCAGAAGCAUCGUACUCGCCGCCGAUGCCGGAGACUUGAGAAGUAUUUAACGGUCUCACAUCCCGAGUUGACAGUGGUACUUCAUCAUCAUCUGCAUAGUCAUCGAUGCCACCGGAAAUUUGAGAAAUUUCCAAGGGUCUCACAGCUGUCAAAGACGGUGGUUCGUCAUUACUUAUGCUCCCGUCAGACGGUUGUUGAUCGGGAUUCAUUUUCUUGUUGGGUUGGGUCUUGAAAUUUUAAAUAGGGGUCGUGAUU